rfam:Vibrio fischeri ES114 chromosome I, complete sequence.
GCGCUAGUAGCUCAGCUGGAUAGAGUACCUGGCUACGAACCAGGCGGUCAGAGGUUCGAAUCCUCUCUGGCGCA